GGGUUGUGAGGUUAAGCGACUAAGCGUACACGGUGGAUGCCCUGGCAGUCAGAGGCGAUGAAGGGCGUGCUAAUCUGCGAUAAGCGCCGGUAAGGUGAUAUGAACCGUUAUAACCGGCGAUACCCGAAUGGGGAAACCCAGUGUGAUUCGUCACACUAUCAUUAACUGAAUCCAUAGUUUAAUGCGGCGA
rnacentral:rRNA from 1 species